GACGAACGCUGGCGGUGUGCUUAACACAUGCAAGUCGAGCGGUAAGGCCCUUUCGGGGGUACACGAGCGGCGAACGGGUGAGUAACACGUGGGUGACCUGCCCUCAGCUCUGGGAUAAGCCUGGGAAACUGGGUCUAAUACCGGAUAUGACCUGCUGCUUCAUGGUGGGUGGGUGGAAAGUUUUUCGGCUGGGGAGUGGGCCCGCGGCCUAUCAGCUUGUUGGUGGGGUGAUGGCCUACCAAGGCGACGACGGGUAGCCGGCCUGAGAGGGCGACCGGCCACACUGGGACUGAGACACGGCCCAGACUCCUACGGGAGGCAGCAGUGGGGAAUAUUGCGCAAUGGGCGGAAGCCUGACGC
rnacentral:rRNA from 1 species